GCAUGCAACAUAGCAUUAAUGCACCAGAUCUCAUUAGAACUCUGUAAAUAAGUGCACUCGGGUUAGAGUAGUGUUGGGAUGGGUGACUGCCUAAGAAGUCCUAAUGUUUUACAUGCC
rfam:Picea glauca, whole genome shotgun sequence.